ACUACCACGCAGGACCCACUGGCAUACAUUACCUCCAGUCCUCAUAACUCCAUGAAGCAGGAUUUGAGGUUGUGGGAAACCAAGGACCAAGCUGAAUCUACCAAGGCUGACUCAAUCAUGAAAAAAAAAAUCAUACAAGACCAAAAUUGUCUCUUAAAUGAGGAUCGUUUAUUUUUGUUUUGUUUCACUUUUUCCCCCCUCUGGGUGGCCAUGGUGAAAAAUAAAAAGACGCUAUGACUGUG